rfam:Picea glauca, whole genome shotgun sequence.
UUAUAUGAUAUGGGUUAAUGUGUUAAUAAUAACCUAACCUAGACCUUGAAUAUACACCCCCUAACCUUAUAAAUCAUCGACCCAUAACCCAUAACCCCUCUAAAGACACAAUGUAAUUCAUUCCCAUUGCUCUGCAUGUCAAAGUGAAGAAAUUCAACCAAGCACGGGUAAACGAUGGGAGUAACCAUGACUAUCUUAAGGUAUCCAAAUUCCUCUUCAUAUAAUUAGUGAUGUGCAUUAAUGGAUCAUCAACGAGAUUCCCCACUGUCCCUAGCUACUAUAUUCUAGAGAAACCACAUCCAAGGGAAUGGGCUUGGAAGAAUUAGUGGGCCAAGAAGACCCUCAUGUUGAGCUUAACUCUAGUCCUAACCCAUUCAUAGU